UGUGAAAGCAGUGACAUCCCGACAAAGGGGCAUUACGUGUGCCAGCACUUGCACCCCCACAGCGAUGCUCUCAAGUAUCCGACUCUCUGUCUCUCUCUCGCGCACACACACACGCGCAAAGUCUCUGGUUACGGAACGGAAAUACUAGCACACACACACACGCACGGUGAUCACAUAAAAAUACGUGUGAGUGUGUGUGUGUGUGUGCGCGCGCACGCUUGUCUGUCUGGUUACGCUCAUAUGCGUUGAUAUGCUGUCUGGGAAAGGUUAAGAGAGACAGAGAGUGAGAGAAAGAGGUUGAGUGGGUGAGCGCGAGUUUACAUCGCUGAUUGCAUGAGCCCCCUGCGUCUGGUUCUAUGUCUGGCGAAAGGGAAUGGGGACUUUGUUCCUUGACCGGUCCCGGCACCCUCGAUUGGCUUUGCCAAUUAAUGGUCCAUGCAAAUGGAACCAGGCCACAGCCGCCGGCAGUCGCCCGAGGAAGAGUUUUCUUUUCUGCUUAACGCGCGAGGUCAUCCCUGGAAACAGUUCGGCUGGCGAAAGGGUGCCCCGUUGCGGCAGAGCGCCACGACUGUCGUGCGCGUCUCGGUGUUCCUGCCGGUCCGUGAAGACGUGGUCGAGGGGAUUGCUCUUGUAUCAACGAAACGCCCGACAAGUUCGGGACGGACCGUACCCUAUAUCCGCAUCUGGUCUCCAAGGUUCGUAGCCUCUGCAGAGUCAGACACAUGUAGGUAAGGGAAGUCGGCAAACUCGAUCCGUAACUUCGGGAAAAGGAUUGGCUCUGAGGGCCGAGCUGGGCCGGGCCUUGCCUGCAAAGCAGUACCUAUAGUGACCGGAGUUUCANGAGUGCGAGGGGCUCUAGUAGCUGCUUGUGUGCGUGUGUGCGUUCGCGCGUGCGCGCGCGUGUGGGCAC
rnacentral:rRNA from 1 species